UACAGGGGGGGCAAGCGUUGUUCGGAAUUACUGGGCGUAAAGGGUCUGUAGGUGGCCAACUAAGUCAGACGUGAAAUCCCUCAGCUUAACUGGGGAACUGCGUCUGAUACUGGAUGGCUUGAGUGUGGGAGAGGAAUGCGGAAUUCCAGGUGUAGCGGUGAAAUGCGUAGAUAUCUGGAGGAACACCGGUGGCGAAGGCGGUGAGCUGGGCAGUAGCUGACACUGAGGCGCGACAGCGUGGGGAGCAAACAGG
rnacentral:rRNA from 1 species